rnacentral:misc_RNA from 1 species
GUGAUCAUCACAGUCAGGACAGCCAGCCACACCAACAUUGGGGUGAAGCACCUGAAGCUGCUCCGGCCAAACGAUGUCCUCCAAAUCGGACAUGUCUACCGCCUCGUCAGCUUUGAAGAGGUUCUGAAAGAGUUUGCCUCGAAGAGGCACGUGAAGCUGAGCAGACUGCUAACGGCGGCGGAGGAGAAGAAGAGAGCUAAAUCUUCGAGCAGGAGAGGAG